ACUCCUACGGGAGGCAGCAGUGGGAAUAUUGCACAAUGGGGAAAGCCAUCGAUGCAGCCAUGCCGCGUGUGUGAAGAAGGCCAUUCGGGUUGGUAAAGACACUUUCAGUAGGGAGGAAGGUAGUGUAGUUAACACCUGCAUUAUUUGACGUUACCUACAGAAGAAGCACCGGCUAACUCCGUGCCAGCAGCCGCGGUAAUACGGAGGGUGCGAGCGUUAAUCGGAAUUACUGGGCGUAAAGCGCAUGCAGGCGGCCUGUUAAGUCAGAUGUGAAAGCCCGGGGCUU
rnacentral:rRNA from 1 species